CUGGCUCAGGAUGAACGCUAGCGGGAGGCUUAACACAUGCAAGUCGAGGGGCAGCACGAGGUAGCAAUACUUUGGUGGCGACCGGCGCACGGGUGAGUAACGCGUAUGCAACCUGCCUUCUACCGGGGGAUAGCUUUCGGAAACGGAAAUUAAUACCCCAUAACACUGCACCCCGGCAUCGGGGAGCAAUUAAAGCUCCGGCGGUAGAAGAUGGGCAUGCGUGACAUUAGCUAGUUGGUGAGGUAACGGCUCACCAAGGCAACGAUGUUUAGGGGACCUGAGAGGGUGAUCCCCCACACUGGUACUGAGACACGGACCAGACUCCUACGGGAGGCAGCAGUGAGGAAUAUUGGUCAAUGGGCGCAAGCCUGAACCAGCCAUCCCGCGUGCAGGAAGACGGCGCUAUGCGUUGUAAACUGCUUUUCUGAAGGAAGAAUAGUUCCUACGUGUAGGGAUUUGACGGUACUUCAGGAAUAAGCAUCGGCUAACUCCGUGCCAGCAGCCGCGGUAAUACGGAGGAUGCAAGCGUUAUCCGGAUUCAUUGGGUUUAAAGGGUGCGUAGGCGGACAUAUAAAGUCAGUGGUGAAAUUUUCCGGCUUAACCGGGAGGCUGCCAUUGAUACUGUAAGUCUUGAGUUCGGGUGAGGUAGGCGGAAUGUGUAAUGUAGCGGUGAAAUGGCUUAGAUAUUACACAGAACACCGAUUGCGUAGGCAGCUUACUAGACCGAUACUGACGCUGAGGCACGAAAGCGUGGGGAGCGAACAGGAUUAGAUACCCUGGUAGUCCACGCCGUAAACUAUGAUUACUCGUUGUUGGCGAUACACAGUCAGCGACCAAGCGAAAGCGAUAAGUAAUCCACCUGGGGAGUACGCUCGCAAGAGUGAAACUCAAAGGAAUUGACGGGGGCCCGCACAAGCGGUGGAACAUGUGGUUUAAUUCGAUGAUACGCGAGGAACCUUACCUGGGCUUAAAUGUAGAGUGCAUGAUCGGGAAACUGAUCUUUCCUUCGGGACUCUCUGCAAGGUGCUGCAUGGUUGUCGUCAGCUCGUGCCGUGAGGUGUCGGGUUAAGUCCCAUAACGAGCGCAACCCUUAUCAUUAGUUGCCAUCGGGUCAAGCCGGGGACUCUAAUGAAACUGCCACCGUAAGGUGAGAGGAAGGUGGGGAUGACGUCAAAUCAGCACGGCCCUUAUGUCCAGGGCUACACACGUGUUACAAUGGCCGGUACAGAGGGCAGCUACCUGGUGACAGGAUGCGAAUCUCAAAAGCCGGUCCAAGUUCGGAUCGAAGUCUGCAACUCGACUUCGUGAAGCUGGAAUCGCUAGUAAUCGCGCAUCAGCCAUGGCGCGGUGAAUACGUUCCCGGGCCUUGUACACACCGCCCGUCAAGCCAUGGAAGCUGGGGGUGCCUGAAGUUCGUAACCGCAAGGAGCGACCUAGGGUAAAACCGGUGAAAGGGAGUAAGUCGUAACAAGGUAGCCGUA
rnacentral:rRNA from 1 species